AGCUUUGCGCAGUGGCAGUAUGACAGCUAGUGAGGUUUAUCUGAGGUGCGAGUGUUGCUAAUUGAAAAAAAUAGAUAAAAUAAGUGACUUUUUUCCUUUGAAAAGUAAACAGUGCGGAUGCUUACGCUCCUACAAUGCUCACACUCCCUUCUCUCUCAGGA
rnacentral:snRNA from 1 species